UUGUUCUUUAGAAUUUUAAAGUAUCUUCAAAUCUCAGAAAUCCACGACACAGCUUUAAAGGUCAAGAAGUAGCUGACAUUUCCAUUUCACUCUUGAGCAGUAUUAAAAAUCUAACCUAAAUACUUCUUUACUCUUCAAAAAUCACAGGCAAAUGGCUCUCAAACCAAGCAUUUCUGAGCUCACUUGCAGCGUCGUCAUUGUAUAUAGGAAGAAAAGCCAAGACCACAAAACGAAGCAGAGCUGUAACCUAACAAGUCUCCGACGAGCAAAUGACGAUUUUCUGUCUGCUCUGGCUCAGCCCUGGCAGUGAUGAGGAUUACAACUCGCUCUUUGUCAUCAGCACUGUGGUGUUAACGACUAAGAAAUCCUGCAGCUGAAGCACUACUGCAUCCUCCGAUCUGGAUUAACGAAGGUGAGAAAGCGCAGAAAACAAAUAAUAUAAUCUCCCUGAUCAGAGGCACUUCUUUCCUUCCAGUAUUAUGAGGUUCGAUUUACUCUUCAGUCUCUCAAACUUUGCAGGUGUGCGUCAUUAAGAUAACCAA